GCAAGUCGAACGAGAAGAUACCUUCGGGUAUUGGAAAGUGGCGCACGGGUGAGUAACGCGUGGGAACCUGCCCAGAGGUACGGGAUAACGGCUGGAAACGGCCGCUAAUACCGUAUGUCCCCUGCGGGGGAAAGAUUUAUCGCCUUUGGAGGGGCCCGCGUCCGAUUAGCUAGUUGGUGAGGUAAUGGCUCACCAAGGCGACGAUCGGUAGCUGGUCUGAGAGGAUGAUC
rnacentral:rRNA from 1 species